rnacentral:rRNA from 1 species
AGAUAAUAGAUACCCAGGUAGUCCACGCCGUAAACGAUGAAUGCCAGCCGUUAGUGGGUUUACUCACUAGUGGCGCAGCUAACGCUUUAAGCAUUCCGCCUGGGGAGUACGGUCGCAAGAUUAAAACCUCAAAGGAAUUGACGGGGGCCCGCACAAGCGGUGGAGCAUGUGGUUUAAUUCGACGCAACGCGCAGAACCUUACCAGCCCUUGACAUGUCCGGGACCGGUCGCAGAGAUGUGACCCUCUCUUCGGAGUCCGGAACACAGGUGCUGCAUGGCUGUCGUCAGCUCGUGUCGUGAGAUGUUGGG